rnacentral:telomerase_RNA from 1 species
UUCCGUGCCUACUUUUCUAACCCUAAGAUGAUUUCCCAGGCUAUUCCCGUCCAUCGCGUGGCGUUUUCUCUGCCUCCUUCCACCACGCCGCGGAAUAGUCGCGCGCUUCCUCUAACAACCCAAAGGAGGCAAGGGCACGACGCAUUCACGUCCCAUCCAAGCGCAGUUGCCGACCUUCCACGUGGUCUGAAGGCUGGGACGUUGUUUCAAGGGCUGGAAAACGUUGGCUUCGCGCCAUCGUUAGGGGAAUUUCCCCGCCAUCUUAGCCCUACACUGAAUCAGUGUCCGUUUCUUCUUAGCUGCGCUUUUGGAGAUGUUGUCUGUACAUUGAAUCGCUGCAGGCCUUGACUUGUCUCUCUGGCGUUUUUUUCAAUCGCCUGAGGGCUUCUGGUCCGCUUAUACACGA